AUUGAACGCUGGCGGCAUGCCUUACACAUGCAAGUCGAACGGUAACGCGGGGCAACCUGGCGACGAGUGGCGAACGGGUGAGUAAUGCAUCGGAACGUGCCCAGUAGUGGGGGAUAGCCCGGCGAAAGCCGGAUUAAUACCGCAUACGACCUACGGGUGAAAGGGGGGGAUCGCAAGACCUCUCGCUAUUGGAGCGGCCGAUGUCAGAUUAGGUAGUUGGUGGGGUAAAGGCCUACCAAGCCGACGAUCUGUAGCGGGUCUGAGAGGACGACCGGCCACACUGGGACUGAGACACGGCCCAGACGCCUACGGGAGGCAGCAGUGGGGAAUUUUGGACAAUGGGCGCAAGCCUGAUCCAGCCAUGCCGCGUGCGGGAAGAAGGCCUUCGGGUUGUAAACCGCUUUUGUCAGGGAAGAAAUCUUCUGGGUUAAUACCUCGGGAGGAUGACGGUACCUGAAGAAUAAGCACCGGCUAACUACGUGCCAGCAGCCGCCGUAAAAC
rnacentral:rRNA from 1 species